CAGGCAUCAUUGCUCGUCGCCAGGUACCGAGCAGAGUCCAGCCGCACACGUCCAUCAUGGCAUCGCCGCGGGUUGUUUCGUUGAUUUUAUUCUGCACCUGUUCACUACUACUGAAAAACGUCGAGAGUCAAAUCGUGACACCUAACACAAACAAUGGACCUGGAGCGGGCCAGGCAGGUCCCGGGACCAACCAGUUCGGGGGCUUCGGCCCGCCGGGGUUCUUCCCCGGGUCUGGGGGCCUGGCGUACCUGGGGGGCAACAGCGGCAACUCGCCCC